GAGUCCGCGUUUCAUUAGCUAGUUGGUGAGGUAACGGCUCACCAAGGCGACGAUGGGUAGCUGGUUUGAGAGGACGAUCAGCCACACUGGGACUGAGACACGGCCCAGACUCCUACGGGAGGCAGCAGUGGGGAAUAUUGCGCAAUGGGGGAAACCCUGACGCAGCAACGCCGCGUGAGCGAUGAAGGCCUUCGGGUUGUAAAGCUCUGUCGGGGGGGACGAUAAUGCCGGUACCCCCAAAGAAAGCCCCGGCUAAUUACGUGCCAGCAGCCGCGGUAAUACGUAGGGGGCAAGCGUUGUCCGGAAUUACUGGGCGUAAAGGGCGUGUAGGCGGUCUGCCAAGUCAGCUGUGAAACCCCCAGGCUCAACCUGGGACUGGCAGUUGAAACUGGUAGACUUGAGUACAGAAGAGGAGAGUGGAAUUCCUAGUGUAGCGGUGAAAUGCGUAGAUAUUAGGAGGAACACCAGUGGCGAAGGCGACUCUCUGGUCUGUUACUGACGCUGAGGCGCGAAAGCGUGGGGAUCAAACAGGAUUAGAUACCCUGGUAGUCCACGCCGUAAACGAUGGACACUAGAUGCCGGGC
rnacentral:rRNA from 1 species